GUUAUGCGGUCAAGCGACGAAGCGUGUGUGGUGGAUGCCUUGGCAGCCAGAGGCGAUGAAGGACGUUGUAGACUGCGAUAAGCUUCGGGGAGCCGUCAAACAGGCUUUGAUCCGGAGAUUUCCGAAUGGGGAAACCCGGCCCUUCGGGGUCAUUGCACAUUGAAUUCAUAGAUGUGCAAGGCGAACGCGGUGAACUGAAACAUCUAAGUAGCCGCAGGAAAAGAAAUCAACCGAGAUUCCCCAAGUAGUGGCGAGCGAAAGGGGAAUAGCCCUGAAGUGGUGCAGAAUUUAGCGGAACAGUCUGGGAAGGCUGACGAUAGAGGGUGACAGUCCCGUACGCGAAAAAUUCCGCAUCAUGAUAUCGAGUAGGUCGGGACACGUGAAAUCCUGACUGAAUAUGGGGGGACCAUCCUCCAAGGCUAAAUACUCCUGGCUGACCGAUAGUGAACGAGUACCGUGAGGGAAAGGUGAAAAGAACCCCGGUGAGGGGAGUGAAACAGAAUCUGAAACCGCAUACGUACAAGCGGUCGGAGCCUGGCGCAAGCCGGGUGACGGCGUACCUUUUGUAUAAUGGGUCAGCGAGUUAUUGCCGGUAGCAAGGUUAACCGUAUAGGGGAGCCGUAGGGAAACCGAGUCUGAACAGGGCGCUCAGUUGCUGGUGAUAGACCCGAAACCGGACGAUCUAGCCAUGGCCAGGCUGAAGGUUGAGUAACAUCAACUGGAGGGCCGCACCCACCUAUGUUGAAAAAUGGGGGGAUGAGCUGUGGCUAGGAGUGAAAGGCUAAUCAAGUCCGGAGAUAGCUGGUUCUCCUCGAAAGCUAUUUAGGUAGCGCCUCAUACAUGACUGCCGGGGGUAAAGCACUGUUUCGGCUAGGGGGUCAUCCCGACUUACCAAACCGAUGCAAACUCUGAAUACCGGCAAGUUCGAGUAUGGGAGACAGACGGCGGGUGCUAACGUCCGUCGUCGAAAGGGAAACAACCCAGACCGCCAGCUAAGGUCCCUAAUAUCAGUUAAGUGGGAAACGAUGUGGGAAGGCACAAACAGCUAGGAGGUUGGCUUAGAAGCAGCCAUCCUUUAAAGAAAGCGUAAUAGCUCACUAGUCGAGUCGGCCUGCGCGGAAGAUGUAACGGGGCUAAACUGAUAACCGAAGCUGCGGGUUCGCGAACACCCUCGGGUGAUUGCGGACGGUAGAGGAGCGUUCUGUAAGCGGGUGAAGCCAGGUCGGGAGGCCUGGUGGACGUAUCAGAAGUGCGAAUGCUGACAUGAGUAACGAUUAGGGGGGUGAAAAGCCCCCCCGCCGAAAGAUCGAGGUUUCCUGCCCAACGUUAAUCGGGGCAGGGUGAGUCGGCCCCUAAGGCGAGGGCGAAAGCCGUAGUCGAUGGGAAACCGGUUAAAAUUCCGGUACCCGGCUUUGCUGCGAUGGAGGGACGGAGUAGGCUAGACCGGCACGGUGUUGGUUAUCCGUGUUCAAGCGUGUAGGUAGGAAGCUUAGGGAAAUCCGGGCUUCCGUUAAUCUGAGGCGUGAUGACGAUCUUCCCGGGCAACCGGAAAGAGAAGUGGUUGAGGCCAUGCUUCCAGGAAAAUCUUCUAAGCACCAGGCAAAGUUGGACCGUACUUAAACCGACACAGGUGAUCAGGUAGAGGAUACCAAGGCGUUGAGAUAACUUGGGUGAAGGAACUAGGCAAAAUGGUACCGUAACUUCGGGAGAAGGUACGCUCCCUCCGGUGAUCGGACUUGCUCCGUAAGCCGAGGGGAGUCGCAGUGACCAGGUGGCUGCAACUGUUUAUUAAAAACACAGCACUCUGCAAACUCGAGAGAGGAAGUAUAGGGUGUGACGCCUGCCCGGUGCCGGAAGGUUAAUUGAUGGGGUUAGCGUAAGCGAAGCUCCUGAUCGAAGCCCCGGUAAACGGCGGCCGUAACUAUAACGGUCCUAAGGUAGCGAAAUUCCUUGUCGGGUAAGUUCCGACCUGCACGAAUGGCGUAACGAUGGCCACACUGUCUCCACCCGAGACUCAGCGAAAUUGAACUCGCUGUUAAGAUGCAGUGUACCCGCGGCUAGACGGAAAGACCCCGUGAACCUUUACUAUAGCUUCACACUGGACUUUGACUGUACUUGUGUAGGAUAGGUGGGAGACUGUGAAAGCAUCGCGCCAGCGUUGCCGGAGUCAACCUUGAAAUACCACCCUGGUGCUGUUGAGGUUCUAACCCAGGUCCCUUGACGGGAUCGGGGACAGUGUGUGGUGGGUAGUUUGACUGGGGCGGUCUCCUCCUAAAGAGUAACGGAGGAG
rnacentral:rRNA from 1 species